UGGGCGCAAGCCUGAUCCAGCCAUACCGCGUGGGUGAAGAAGGCCUUCGGGUUGUAAAGCCCUUUUGUUGGGAAAGAAAUCCAGCCGGCUAAUACCUGGUUGGGAUGACGGUACCCAAAGAAUAAGCACCGGCUAACUUCGUGCCAGCAGCCGCGGUAAUACGAAGGGUGCAAGCGUUACUCGGAAUUACUGGGCGUAAAGCGUGCGUAGGUGGUUAUUUAAGUCCGUUGUGAAAGCCCUGGGCUCAACCUGGGAACUGCAGUGGAUACUGGAUGACUAGAAUGUGGUAGAGGGUAGCGGAAUUCCUGGUGUAGCAGUGAAAUGCGUAGAGAUCAGGAGGAACAUCCAUGGCGAAGGCAGCUACCUGGACCAACAUUGACACUGAGGCACGAAAGCGUGGGGAGCAAACAGGAUUAGAUACCCUGGUAGUCCACGCCCUAAACGAUGCGAACUGGAUGUUGGGUGCAAUUUGGCACGCAGUAUCGAAGCUAACGCGUUAAGUCGCCGCCUGGGAGACG
rnacentral:rRNA from 1 species